GACAGAGGGUGCAAACGUUAUUCGGAAUCACUGGGCUUAAAGAGUCCGUAGGCGGCAUGUUAGGUGAGGUGUGAAAUCCCCCGGCUCAACCGAGGAAUUGCGCUUCAAACCGGCGUGCUUGAGGAAGAUAGAGGUGGGCGGAACUGAUGGUGGAGCGGUGAAAUGCGUUGAUAUCAUCAGGAACACCGGAGGCGAAAGCGGCCCACUGGGUCUUUUCUGACGCUGAGGGACGAAAGCUAGGGGAGCGAACGGG
rnacentral:rRNA from 1 species